UAGAAUGACUCUCGGCAACGGAUAUCUAGGCUCUUGCAUCGAUGAAGAACGUAGCGAAAUGCGAUACUUGGUGUGAAUUGCAGAAUCCCGUGAACCAUCGAGUCUUUGAACGCAAGUUGCGCCCGAUGCCAUUAGGUUAAGGGCACGUCUGCCUGGGUGUCACA
rnacentral:rRNA from 1 species